UACGAGGGGUGCAAGCGUUGCUCGGAAUUAUUGGGCGUAAAGGGUACGUAGGCGGUCUCGUUUGUCUGGGGUGAAAGCCUUGAGCUUAACUCAAGAAGUGCCCUAGAAACGGCGAGACUAGAGUCCUGGAGAGGGUCGUGGAAUUCCCGGUGUAGCGGUGAAAUGCGUAGAGAUCGGGAGGAACACCAGAGGCGAAGGCGGCUCACUGGCCCGAUACUGACGCUGAGGCACGAAAGCGUGGGGAGCAAACGGG
rnacentral:rRNA from 1 species